UAAAACACAGCACACACAUAUGUGUGUGUGAGCUACCAGAGAAAGAAAAGAACGGGGGAAAACACCAAAAACCCUCAUUCACUAAAUUGAUCAAAUUGGAGGAUGGAUUGAGUCCAAAUCAUAUGCAUGAACUUGAAAUUCUGAUUAUCUAAACCUAAUAAACACAAGGAAACACAAGUGAAGCAUCGGGACGUCAAGCUUGACUAGACGCGCGAUUGAAAGAAAAGUUAUAAGAAUCUCCAAUGAUCAUCGUUGUGUCAAUCGUCGCCGGAUGUUUGAACGAAGUCGAUAUCCACCGGUCGUUCUUCUCAGGUUUCAUCCUUGUCACCGUCAGAUUCGAGUCUCAUCCUUUGUCACCGUCAGAUGCGAACUUCGUCGUCGAAGCCAUGGUGGUGUAGAACCGCCGGGAAUGAAGCGGGAACUCGAUUAGGUUCCUGAAUUAGUUGGCUUUCUCCAAGAUAAUGAAGAAGCUUUGUGUUUUGGGGUUUUCGUCUACUGUGAAAUCUUGGUAACAAAUGACGAAAAUCAGGCCUUUUUACAGCAAAUAAGAACAAAAUUGUCAACUGGGUAUUGCUGAUUUCGAAACAGGGAUGUGAAACUGUAAAGGCGUGGUGGGUCUCAAUCGUUGGGGGUGUUGAUUACGGUGGCUGGUGGUGGGUGUUGAGAGGAGGUAAAGGGAGAAGGGAUGAGAGAGAUAUUUCUUUUUUGUUAUUUAUAAUAAAAUAUAUAGUUUUUUUAAUAGAA